AGAGUUUGAUCCUGGCUCAGAGCGAACGCUGGCGGCAGGCUUAACACAUGCAAGUCGAGCGGGCGUAGCAAUACGUCAGCGGCAGACGGGUGAGUAACGCGUGGGAACAUACCUUUUGGUUCGGAACAACACAGGGAAACUUGUGCUAAUACCGGAUAAGCCCUUACGGGGAAAGAUUUAUCGCCGAAAGAUUGGCCCGCGUCUGAUUAGCUAGUUGGUGAGGUAACGGCUCACCAAGGCGACGAUCAGUAGCUGGUCUGAGAGGAUGAUCAGCCACAUUGGGACUGAGACACGGCCCAAACUCCUACGGGAGGCAGCAGUGGGGAAUAUUGGACAAUGGGCGCAAGCCUGAUCCAGCCAUGCCGCGUGAGUGAUGAAGGCCCUAGGGUUGUAAAGCUCUUUUGUGCGGGAAGA
rnacentral:rRNA from 1 species